GCACUGCUGAGGAGUCUCUUAAUAGGACGAAACGGCCGUCCAGUGC
rfam:Schistosoma rodhaini strain Burundi genome assembly, scaffold: SROB_contig0001912